rnacentral:rRNA from 1 species
AGUGAACGCUGGCGGUAGGCCUAACACAUGCAAGUCGAACGGCAGCACAGUAAGAGCUUGCUCUUACGGGUGGCGAGUGGCGGACGGGUGAGGAAUACAUCGGAAUCUACUUUUUCGUGGGGGAUAACGUAGGGAAACUUACGCUAAUACCGCAUACGACCUACGGGUGAAAGCAGGGGAUCUUCGGACCUUGCGCGAUUGAAUGAGCCGAUGUCGGAUUAGCUAGUUGGCGGGGUAAAGGCCCACCAAGGCGACGAUCCGUAGCUGGUCUGAGAGGAUGAUCAGCCCCACGGGACUUGAGCCACGGCCCAGCUCCCAACGGGAGGCAGCGGUGGGAAAUAUUGGACAAGGGGCGCAAGCCUGUCCAAGCCAUCCCGCGUGGGUGAAGAAGGCCUCCGGGUUGUAAAGCCCUUUUGUUGGGAAAGAAAAGCAGCAGGUUAAUACCCCGCUGUUCUGACGGUACCCAAAGAAUAAGCACCGCCUAACUCCUG